AUGCAAUAUACACUUUAUUUCUAUAUUAAAAGCAGUAAAUGGCAUUGUUUUGACCGCUGGUAAGAGUGUAUGUUAUUAUUUGGAAAAUAAAAGGUGAGGUUAGCUUUCAAAAAUAUAAUUUAGUCAAAUAUAAUUUUCAAAAUGAUGAACAAAAUAUGAAACAUUUGACUAAUUUUCAGUCACGUUAAUAACAAAGGGCAUUUUGAGUGUCAUAUACUAUUGAAACAAGGAUGUUUCUUGUUUCAAUAGUCAUCACAUCAUCUUUGUAGCCAAAAUAAACAAGACAUGUCACCUCUACUGUGUAACACACACGAUCGCCAGCUUCCCCAGGCAGGAAAAACCGGUCACAUGACGCUCAAGCUUUCUGAUUGGCUCAAAAAACACCUGCCAGACUCCUGAGGCGGUUUCAUCUGUCACACCUGAAGCAGGAGGUGAAGCGGCUCGGGGACUUUCCUCACUGCAGAAACAGCAGAUUAAAUCCAUAAUUCCCGUGAGAAGCGGCAGAGGUAAGACGUGUGUGUGUGUGUGUGUGUGUGUGUGUGUGUGUGUGUGUGUGUGUGUGUGUGUGUGUGUGUGUGCUUUGUCUCACUCAAUGAUUCAUAAUCCACCGAUUCGCUGCUGUUCUUUGGCUCCAACGUCCGCGAGCUUCAAGCACCGACAAAAUGUCCCACUCGGUCCAAAGGUUGUGGACAAACCUGCACGUCAUAUGUGACUCUUCCCCACCAGCUAAAGGUGUGUUUGGAGUAUUUUAAUGUGGAUUCCAGCUCAUUGUAGCGAGGACGGUGGUGAUUGUAACCAGAAAAGCUGUUCAUGAGGACACUAUUCUGAUGUCUCUGCUGCCAUGGCUUGCUGUGUAUUUCACCAGAACUUCUGCAGGCUUCGUCUCAGACAAAUACAACCAAUGUCAAUAGAUUCAGGCCGAUCGGCUGAUGCUGUUUAAUGUGGUUUCUCACAUUAUAGAAGUUAUUUGAGACGGACUUACCAAGUUGUUCACCACCGUCCAUCCCAGCCAACCUGGGGCGAGAGACGGGGUUCAUCCUGGAUUGGUCGCCAGCCAAUCACAGGGCUACACAGAGACAAACGACCAUUCACACUCACAUUACGGGCAAUUUAGAGUCCUCAAUCAACCUGAUCCCCAGAGCAUACAGUCUUUGGACUGUGGGAGGAAGCCGGAGAACACGGGGAGAACAUGCAGACUCCACACAGAAAGGCCACUGAACUUCUUGCCGUGAGGCAAUAGUUCUAACCACCACGCCACCGUGCCGCCCCA
ensembl:lncRNA